UACAAAGAGCGAAAGGACCAGUCACGCAACCACAAGGAAAUAACUUCUACCAAAGCUGAAUGACUUUGGAAGCAGAUUCUUCCCAGCCAAUCCUGAUGAUGACGAUGUAGUCUGGCCAGCGUCUUCCCUGGACUCUGACGGACUCUAUGCCUGGGACCCAGCUGAUAUCACGUGUAGUUAAUAUGCUAACCAACUUUACUGAAAGGCAUACAGAUGUGGAAGAAAUCUAUCUGGGGACUUUAAUUAUCACCUUGUCAAAUUCAAAUUAUUAUCUGGAGUUUACCUAAUUCUCUCAAAUAUUGGUGGGUUAGUUGCUAUGCAUAGUUUUCCCCAGCGUUAAUGAACUUACGAAGACGUCAAGAGAAACCCAGUGUUGUCACCAUGGUUGCAAAAGCCACGAUUCUGACGAAAAAGUCAACUGACUCCCCUACAAUAUUGAGAAGUAAAAGUUGAAAAUAGAAGAAACAAGGUCCGUGGAGGAGACAAAGCCGGUGCCACUAGCUGGACCUGGAGGUUGAAGAUGAAAUCCCCCACCCUAGU
rnacentral:lncRNA from 13 species